rnacentral:rRNA from 1 species
CUUGGUGAUUAUGGCGAAGGUGUCACACCCGUUCCCAUUCCGAACACGGUCGUUAAGCCCUUCAGCGUCGAUGAUACUGGGAGUUCCCGGGAAAGUAGAUCGUUGCCAGGA